UAGGGCAUCUUCCACAAUGGGCGCAAGCCUGAUGGAGCAACACCGCGUGAGUGAAGAAGGGUUUCGGCUCGUAAAGCUCUGUUGUUAAAGAAGAACACGUAUGAGAGUAACUGUUCAUACGUUGACGGUAUUUAACCAGAAAGUCACGGCUAACUACGUGCCAG
rnacentral:rRNA from 1 species